AUGUGAUCUGGGAUAAUAAACAUGUCUGUUAUGAUUUGUCCAAUAUAAUGAAGCAGGCUUUCAUACUCAUUAUUUGCAUAUAAGCAUGUUUCUCUUGAAUCCCAACUGAAAAACGUGUCUACAACGUGUUUUUGUUCAUAUCUGCUUAUUCACCUAAAAUCAUAUUUGGGGUAUCUCAAAAGACUCAAAUUAGAUCGAUGUAUUGAAACUGAAGGAUGGUCGAUUUGGUUGGGAGUAAAAACUGUAGGGUAAUGCACUUUUUUUAUAUUGAGUUGUUUCUUGAACACAAAUCCUUGGGAGAGGAAGAGUUUCUGAUGCGGGCAAGGAAUCAGAUCUUCAGGUGACCACACAUUCAUUCAAACCAGGUGACCCAUACUUCCUUUUAUCUCCCUUGCAUUUUUGAUUUGGUUCACCUCCACUCCCAUCCUAGCUUGCUCUUUUGGGUUCCUAUAGGUUGGUUGCAAGGCAGUGAAGAACUGAAAUACCUGAAGAGAACAUUAGGAGAUGAUGCUAGAAGCUUGCUUGUGUGCUACCUGUUGUUGUCAUUCGAAGGAGGAAGGAAUGUGCAUAUUCUCAUUGAAUAGAAAAAAGAGGCACUAUGGUGAGAGUUGACUAAAUGUAGAGUUGAAUCCCUUUACCAUAGUAGUUUAAAUAGCAACCAGAAGUUAUUUUCCUGAGCC
rnacentral:lncRNA from 1 species